rnacentral:rRNA from 1 species
AGUGAACGCUGGCGGUAGGCCUAACACAUGCAAGUCGAGCGGCAGCACAGUAAGAGCUUGCUCUUACGGGUGGCGAGUGGCGGACGGGUGAGGAAUACAUCGGAAUCUACUUUUUCGUGGGGGAUAACGUAGGGAAACUUACGCUAAUACCGCAUACGACCUACGGGUGAAAGCAGGGGAUCUUCGGACCUUGCGCGAUUGAAUGAGCCGAUGUCGGAUUAGCUAGUUGGCGGGGUAAAGGCCCACCAAGGCGACGAUCCGUAGCUGGUCUGAGAGGGUGAUCAGCCACACUGGAACUGAGACACGGUCCAGACUCCUACGGGAGGCAGCAGUGGGGAAUAUUGGACAAUGGGCGCAAGCCUGAUCCAGCCAUACCGCGUGGGUGAAGAAGGCCUUCGGGUUGUAAAGCCCUUUUGUUGGGAAAGAAAAGCAGCAGGUUAAUACCCCGCUGUUCUGACGGUACCCAAAGAAUAAGCACCGGCUAACUUCGUG